UGGGGAAUUUUGGACAAUGGGCGCAAGCCUGAUCCAGCCAUGCCGCGUGCGGGAAGAAGGCCUUCGGGUUGUAAACCGCUUUUGUCAGGGAAGAAAUCUUCUGAGUUAAUACCUCGGGAGGAUGACGGUACCUGAAGAAUAAGCACCGGCUAACUACGUGCCAGCAGCCGCGGUAAUACGUAGGGUGCAAGCGUUAAUCGGAAUACUGGGCGUAAAGCGUGCGCAGGCGGUUUUGUAAGACAGAGGUGAAAUCCCCGGGCUCAACCUGGGAACUGCCUUUGUGACUGCAAGGCUUGAGUGCGGCAGAGGGGGGAUGGAAUUCCGCGUGUAGCAGUGAAAUGCGUAGAUAUGCGGAGGAAACACCGAUGGCGAAGGCAAUCCCCUGGGCCUGCACUGACGCUCAUGCACGAAAGCGUGGGGAGCAAACAGGAUUAGAUACCCUGGUAGUCCACGCCCUAAAACGAUGUCAACUGGUUGUUGGGAAAGGUUCCUUCUCAGUAACGUAGCUAACGC
rnacentral:rRNA from 1 species